rnacentral:rRNA from 1 species
AUUGAACGCUGGCGGCAGGCCUAACACAUGCAAGUCGAGCGGAUGACGGGAGCUUGCUCCUUGAUUCAGCGGCGGACGGGUGAGUAAUGCCUAGGAAUCUGCCUGGUAGUGGGGGACAACGUUUCGAAAGGAACGUUAAUACCGAAUCCGUCCUACGGGAGAAAGAAGGGGACCUGCGGGCCUUGCGCUAUCCGAUGAGCCUAGGUCGGAUUAGCUAGUUGGUGGGGUAAUGGCUCACCAAGGCGACGAUCCGUAACUGGUCUGAGAGGAUGAUCAGUCACACUGGAACUGAGACACGGUCCAGACUCCUACGGGAGGCAGCAGUGGGGAAUAUUGGACAAUGGGCGAAAGCCUGAUCCAGCCAUGCCGCGUGUGUGAAGAAGGUCUUCGGAUUGUAAAGCACUUUAAGUUGGGAGGAAGGGCAGUAAGUUAAUACCUUGCUGUUUUGACGUUACCGACAGAAUAUGCACCGGCUAACUCUGUGCCAGCCGCCGCCGUAA